CGAAAGCGUUUUUAACAGCGCAAAACCCACUGUGAACAUACCUGUUUGUUGCUUCGGCAGGCGGCCCCAGGGCGGGGCCAGCAGCCUGUAUUUUUUUUCAGGCGCCUGCCGGAGGCCACUUCAAACUCUUUUGUAUACGUACUGUCUGAGCCUAAAACAAAAUACGUUA
rnacentral:misc_RNA from 1 species